UACAUUUCUGUAGCAAAAGACAAAGAUAAAAACAGAGGCAGUGAUGGAAGAGCAAUCAUGAAAAAAAUGAACCUAAAAGUCUCAAUUCCAUGGAGCUGGACAUGAGGCUGAAACUAGAUCAAGAAUCUGCAGACAUGCUAGCAGCUUUGUCAUUAGAAACCUAGAAAUGUGUCAACAGCACACUCACAAUGUCAACAAAACUAUUUUCACAGGCCGAUAGUUUUCAGCUUUCUGCACGGUAGUUUUAGAAUAUUGGGUCGUAAAAUCUGUCCAUCACCGUGAAAAGCAAAGCAGAGCUGGGACUGAUGGGAUUGUACCACCAGGAUCUCUUGAUCUCCAGACUUUCCAUUAAGUUACAUUACUGGAGAAAUGUACAAUAUGAAAAGCAUACAACAUCAAUGUCCAGAUUUAGGUCUUAAUGGCAGCAGGGUCAAUUCAGACCACCGACACUUUCUAGUUUCUCCUAGGGGAUCAGAUGUAGAUACCAGUCCAGAAAAGAUCUGUAAUUCUGCCACUGAAUUCUGGAUUUGACCCCAACGACCCGGGCAAUUUGUUGUUCAGCAGUUAAACAAGCGUUCACCAUCAAACAACAAAAGCAACAAAACAGUAAAACAGUUAAAGGAAUAGCAGCGAUUAAAGGAAAUGUUUUAAAAAUGUAAAAAACACAGUAAAACAAUUACAAGCAAAAUAAAGGCCAUUUAAAGAAAUCAAACAAAACAUAAGACAGACAGGGACAUCGGCAGCAAUCUUGGGCAUUUAGUCAGACGUAGUAAAAGUUUUCAAUAAACGGCCACCGAUGUAAUCAGGUAGAGGACUUUUCUUUGGUCUGCACUGUUUGAGACACCAGAUUACAUUGCCCACAUCAAGAAAAAGAUUCUGUGGAGAGGCUGACAUGAGACAGUUUUUAGUCUCAGCAUGUUUAGCCCUAAAAUCAUGGGAGUCAAACCCGACAUAAAAACUGUUUAGACUUUGAGCCAGCUCUGAAUCACAAUUAUAACCACUGAGCUGAACUCUCUCACUGACACAUUAAUUAGUCCCAGUGAUCAGAUUCAUGCCGUCCCAGACUGAACUGAGGUAGUUCAUUUUGAGCUGAGACUCAAGUUUGUCUUUGUAUUGUCUUUUGUGGGUCCUGAUCUCCUACUUUAUUUCCUUCUGUCGGUGAUACAGAUUUAGUGUAUUUCCUUCUCUGAAGACUGUUUUCUUUCUGUACAGUAGGUCUUUAAGCUUCUUAGAGAGCCAUGGCUUAGUGUUUGAAUACAGUUUUACAGUUUUUUCAGGAAUAACACUGGUUUCACAGUCUGUGACCCAGCUGCUCACAACAUCAGUCGGUUCAUCAAUAUCAGCUGAGGACUCCUUAAACACGUCCCAGUCAGUAACCUCCAGACAUCCCUGCAGAGUGUGACAAACUUUCACUCUGAUGUUCUGCACUUUGCCUUGCUUCAGUACAGUAGUAGACAGGGAUAAGGAGGAUGCAGUUGUGGUCAGAGGAACCCAGAGGAGAAGCACCUUUCACAUUGUUCUGACAGAUCAAAGAUUUUGUCUCAUCUUGUGGGGCAUGUGAUGUACUGAUGGAAGUCUCUCAGUGUGUGUUUUAGUGAGCAGUGGUCUCUGGAUGACCUGAUGGAUAAGCCCACAGGCAUUUAUUUCACUGGCCUUUGGAUGGAUAUAGACAAGAGUCACAUAUCUGGGAAAAUUUCUGAGGCGGAUAUGGAGGGCACAGUGAAACAGAAAGCCGUUCUAAGUCAGUAGUGCACAGUUUCUCCAGGACAGUGUCAGAUUUGCACCAGCGCUGUCCUUGUCCAUUUGGAAGACCCACUUGUGCCCAAGCUUUCAUUUGCUGGCUGAUGUUGCUUCAGUAUUUCCACAUAAUGUUCUAUCCUCUUGAUGCCAUCUAUUUUGUGAAGUGCACCAGUCCCUCCUGCAGCAAAAACACUCCCACAACAUGGUGCUGCCACCCCCAUGCUUCACAGUUGGGAUGGUGUACUCAGGCAAUCCUCAGCCAGCAUCUUCACAAGGUCAUUUGCUUUUGUUCUGGGGUUGAUGAGCACAUUUCCCUCCAAAACAAUCCUAAUUUUAACCAAUCUCCAUCUUGAGCAGGAUGGUUUGACAUUCCCAUGGUGUUGAUCUGUGCAUGCAAUUGUUUGGACAGAUAAACGUCAAACCACAGCAAUCUGGAAAUUGUACCCAAGGAACCACACCUGUGGAGGCCCACAAAUGUCUUCCUGAUGUCUUGGCUGAUUUCUUCAGAUUUUCUAAAGUCACACAAGGAAGCAGUGUGUUUGAGGUGUGCCUGAAAAUACAUCUUAAUCUAUCAAAAGCUUUCGAAGCCAGGACAUCAUCAUCUUGAAGGCAUAGCUAUCUCAGUGUAUGCAAACUUCUGACUGUAGAAUAGAAUAGAAUGACUUUAUUGAUCCCCGAAGGGAAAUUCAAUUGUUUGGUCUUAUCUUUUUGCUUUUGAAAUUAAACAGUCUGAUUGCAAGAAAGAUUUCCUGAAUCUUUCAGUCCUGCAGCACAGGGAUAGGAGCCGUCCACCGACGUUUUGUUGUUCACUGAGGAAAAUGUGAAGUGGAUGAUCCAUGUUUGUCAGAAUGACCUCGAUCUUUCUAAGUGUCCAUCUCUCCACCUCAUCCUCCAAUGUAUUCAAUCCGGUUCCAACUACAGAGCAGCUUUUUUAAUCAGUUUGUUCAGACGCCUUGCAGUCUUGUUCUUUAUACUGCCUCCCCAGCAGACUGCGGCAUAAAACAGGACACUUGCUACCAGAGAUUGAUAAAACAUCUGCAGCAUCUUACUGCAGAUGUCUAUUGAUCGAAGUCUUCUUAGGCAAAAAAAGUCGGCUCUGGCCCUUUUUGUAGAUGAAAUGUGCAUUUUUAGACCAGUCUAACUUAUUGUCAAGGUGGACAUUCAGGCGGAAUUCAAGUUAGUACAUGUUAUUUGUAUGUGUACAUACAAAUUGGUAGGGAUGGGCGAGUACCGAUGCCAGGUAUCGGUAUCGAGCCGAUCCUGGCCUUAUUUCAAAGUAUCAAGUACUUUUGAAGGCUGCCGAUGCCAGCCACCGAUACUCAAGGCAAGAAAAUCCCACGCGUAGUAAACCCUCCUCGCCGGGAGAUGGCGCUACACUGCCGCGGGUUGACUUCUCCAUGUGCGUCACAUCCUGUGCAGAGACAACUUACCCCUCUCGUUUGUGGACAGCGUGGGAUUCCGACGGUUCAUGGAGGUUGUGGAGCCGAAAUAUGAUGUCCCCUCUCGAACCACAAUGGUGAGGACUGUGAUUCCGGAGGUGCACGACUCCGUUAAAAAACAUGUUAGCAGUUUGUUGUGUAACACUCCGGUCAUUAGCUUCACCACUGAUAUUUGGAGCAGCAGCGUGAGUGCUGUGUCUCUCAUCAGCCAGACAGCGCGUUGGAUAGAUGCUGAUUUCCAACUUCAUAGCAUCAUGCUGCACGCAAAAGAGUUCAGUGGCUCACACACAGGACAGGCGAUCGCAGAAAAGUUUGAGGAGAUGCUCAACACAUGGAAUAUUCCCAAAGAAGCCGUUCACGUUAUGCUAAGAGACAAUGCAAAGAACAUGAUUAAAGGUAUGGAUGAAGCUGAGCUUCCAAGCCUCCCGUGUGUCGUGCACACACUCCAGCUGACAGUGAAUGAAGGCCUGCUGGUUCAAAAGGCUGUUUCAGAUGCCGUAGCCAUAGGACGGAAAAUAGUCGUUCAUUUCCAAAAUUCCCCAUUGGCCUACUCGAAGCUUGAAGACAUCCAAACGGACAUGCACAAGCCUGUAAAAAGACUGGCACAGAACGUACCAACCCGCUGGAAUAGCACGCUGUAUAUGAUGCGCUCUCUCGUUGAACAAAAGCAAGCCAUAGGAGUUUAUGGGACAGAAAACAAGCUCCCCGAGAGCCUUAGUGUGAACCAGUGGAGUUUAUUCGAAAAGGCAAUCAAGCUUUUGGAACCCUUUGAGGAGCUGACCCGGCAGGUGAGCUCCACGGAUUCAUCAGCUGCAGAUGUGAUCCCUGCCAUCACCACGCUUCUUGAGGGUUUUAGAGGAGGAUUGUGAGGAGGACCGUGGGGUCGGAUCGAUGAAGCAUACCUUGCUACAGGUUGCUAGGAGGUGCUUUGCUGAUAUCGAGAGAAAUCCACUGUACAGCUUUGCCUCCAUACUCGAUCCAAGGUAAUAGUUUUUCUUACUAAUUCAAAUGUGAGAAAUUGUUUUAAUUAAAUUACUAUUAGAGUUGCCUAACCUUAAUAUUACUCAAGUAAAAAAUAUUUUGCAUUAACUACUCUCAGUUAAAAGUACAACCACCUGAAUUGUGAUGUGACACCUGAAUCACUUAUGUGGAUGUGUAGACUUUCUCAUUUGUUCUCUUUUCUUCUCUCUUUUGUAGAUACAAGGAUUGUUAUUUCUCAGAUGAAAGCGCAGCAAGGGAGGCCAAAACGAUGCUUGUACAGGAGCUGCAGCAAACAUUUGCUGCAGAACCACAGGCAGAUGGAGAGGAACCACCUGCCCAAAAGCCACGGAGGGAGCAGCCCAGCAGCAGCAGCCGUCUCAACAGAAUGUCUGCUGAAAUAGCAGAGGGCCGUGCAUCAUCCUCACAUUGUACCGGGAGAAGUGCUCCAAUGAUCGCUGCUGCAAUGCAGCUGGAGACAUACCUUGCAGAACACUUACUCGAACGGGAUGCCAAUCCACUCAAGUACUGGGCAGAGGAGAGAGAAAAGUUUUCCUCUUUGGCCAAGUUAGCAAGAAAAUACCUCUCGGCACCAUGCAGCAGCGUCGAGAGUGAACGGCUCUUUAGUUCAGUUGCUCACAUUCUCGAUGACACAAGAAAUAGGCUCUCAGCUGAAAAUACAGAGAUGCUUCUGUUCCUUAAUAAGAACCUGCCACUUACCUUUUCACCCUCAGAUAACAGUUAGACAAUGAAGCAACUUAAAGGUUUAAGCUUUGUUCUAGUUUUGUGCUUCAAUUUUGCACCUUAAAAUAAAACCCAGGAAGAGAAAGUUCAUUUUAUUUCAUUUAAAAACUGAAAACUCAGGGGUUGUUCUAUCUUUGACUUUAGUUCAUAAAAAAGCAUUAAAAUGAGAACAUUUAAAAACUUUAGUUCAUGUAAAGUGUAAAACUCAGAGAAAGCUUUUUGAUCUUGCACUUUAGUUCAUAAAAAACCUUAAAACUCAGAAAGUUGUUUUAUCUUGCACUUUAGUUCAUAAAAAAAACCUUAAAACUCACAGAAAGCUGUUUCAUCUUGCACUUAAGUUCAUUUAAAAAAACAUGACAAUGUGUUCAUUUAAAAAAGUGUAUAACUCAGAGGUGUUUGUUACAUCUUUUACUUCAUUUAAAAGAAACCUUAAAACUCAGAAAUUGAUUUAUCUUGCACUUAAUUUCAUUCAAAAAAGUGUAAAACUCAAAAGAGUUGCUUGUUUACAUCUUGUACUUCAGUUCAUCUUUUAAAAAAAAACCUUAAAACUCAGAGAAAUUGAUUUAUCUUGCACUUAAUUUCAUUUAAAAAAGUGUAAAACUCAAAAGAGUUGUUUUAUAUUUCACUUUUUUUUAUAUAUCUGAAACUGAGACUGCUAUUAUUUUAGUAGUGGCUGUGCUGCCUUUUUUAGAAAUAAAAGUCAUUUUUCAAAAAUGA